ACGCACGCUGGCGGCGCGCUUCACACAUGCCAGUCGAACGGAAAGGCCUGCUUUCCCUUGUGGAUUGCGGGUACUCGAGUGGCGAACGGGUGAGUAACACGUGAGUGAUCUGCCCCCAACUUGGGUAUAAGCCUGGGAAACUGGGUCUAAUUCCCGAUAGGACUGCAGGGUGGUGCCUGUGGUGGAAAACGAUUUUCUAGUGGUUGGGGAUGAGCUCGCGGCCUAUCAGCUUGUUGGUGGGGUAAUGGCCUACCAAGGCGGCGACGGGUAGCCGGCCUGAGAGGGUGGACGGCCACAUUGGGACUGAGAUACGGCCCAGACUCCUACGGGAGGCAGCAGUGGGGAAUAUUGCACAAUGGGCGGAAGCCUGAUGCAGCGACGCCGCGUGGGGGAUGACGGCCUUCGGGUUGUAAACUCCUUUCGACCGCGAGGAAGCCACCUGGUUGGAAGGGUGGUGACGGUAGUGGUAGAGGAAGCACCGGCUAACUACGUG
rnacentral:rRNA from 1 species